rnacentral:rRNA from 1 species
GCUUACGGCCAUACCACCCUGAGAACGCCCGAUCUCGUCUGAUCUCGGAAGAUAAGCAGGGUCGGGCCUGAUUAGUACUCGGAUGGGAGACCGCCUGGGAAUACCAGGUGCUGUAAACU